AUGAGGGUGGAUACCAAUGAUGAAGUGUAUUUAAAUAUAUAUAUGAAUUUGUAUUACAGAGUACUUCCUUCUAAAACUGGUUCUGGAAUCCUGAAGAACUACGUGCACGGAACAACAUCUUCUGCAGUCCUGACAAGGUUGAGAUUCUGCGUCCAGUUAAGGUGGUGCCAAUAUUUACUUGCUUUUUCAAAUCUGCAUAGCAAUGUUGAAAUACAAACGUGUCAAUGCCUAUCAUCUCUGUUUCUUCUCUGUGAUCCUAAACGUUGUCUCCUCAGAACUUCCACGUAUCAUCCUCCUCCUAGUAUCUAAAGCAUGAGUGCGAAUUUUCCUAAGCUGGAAAGGUUGUACGGCUGCUCAUUUGGCAGAAGUAAAUUAUAUGAUGAGUCCUUUUCUUGUCACCUGAUUGAGUUUACCUUGUCAUAGUCUAAAUGUAUAAAAGAUGGAGUAAAAACAAAUGCAUUUUUGAAAUGACAUAUUUUAUUCAGAAUCUAUUUUAAAUGCCCAUUGUAUGUUACCAAAAUAAUGGAAUGGCCACUGAUUCCCUGUUAAGUUUCCAUUUUCACUGAGCCAGAUCUCACUCAUUUAGGCCAAUCUGAGGGAGCUGCAUUUGCAUUUAGGUUGUUUUUAGUAUGUUGACUUAGGUGGAUAAGGGCUCUUAAAACAAAUGUUUGCAGAAUUGUGAUGUGGUAUAUUUGUGUUAUUACAAUUAUCGUUGCUGCUGUGGAUUCUUAUGCUGUAAACAGUGAGUUGUUACAUCAGUGAUCGAAUUUGGCCUGAUACUAGGGGGGAGCUGUAAAGGCUUCAGAGCAUAAUACAGAAAUGCAGCAUGUGCCUUGCACAGCGUAGCUAUCUAACAAUAAUACAUUAAGGUUAUUUAUGGAGUUUCUUUGUGGUUGAUAUGCUACUGAAGAAACAUAAGCCAAACUUGCUGUUAGUUCACUAAAGAUAAAAUUGUUACAGUGUUUUCUGCCCUUAGUUUUAUGUGAAUUGCUUAAAGAAAAUUAUCAAAAGUCACGUAAUUACACUGAAGAUGUCUUUAAGAUUUGUACAGCAUUCAAGACGUGAAGUGAAUCUCAUUAAUUUUAUCAGCAGUUUCAUUUGAGUUUAAAGACCUCAGGUGUCUAAAACACAGUAGUAGUAGUAGUAGACUGCACAUUACGAGUUUUGUGACUAGACCUUGUCAUUAGAACUGGGAGCAUCACUGGGUGCCUUCUGCAUCUGCAGCUUGUAUAUAAUGCACUGCACCCAUUCCUGUAGCCGCUACUCUUCCUUCUCUGAGCGUCUUCGGUCAGGGUGGUACUUUGUUGUAUUUUUUGGCAUACCACUGCUUUUAUAUUUUUGCUUGUCUUUGGUUCUGUGUCCUUUGUGACAUGGUAGUGCAGAACCCACAGGUGCUGCUUGGCAUGCUUGUUCACCCCCUGGCCAGCACUCUGACUCUGCAUUGACCCUCUUUGCGCUGACCUGUUAGGACAAUGCCCAACUACAAAGGGUAAGAGUUAGAUUUUCAAUUUUAGUUCAUAAAAUGGAGCUACAUUUCAAAUUUGUGAUGAACUUGGCUGUGCUGGAGUGUCUGUUCUGAAAGACACUGAUGUGCUUCCCUUAAACAGCUGUAAAAUCUUUAAGCAUUAAAGCACAUAUCUUGGCUCUAGAAAUAGCCAUGGACUGCAAAAUAACCAAAUACCUUGCUCUGUUGGCAAGAUAACACUGAAUGCUGUGGGAGUCUGCUCCUGGUUGCUGUCAAAUAGUUGUUAUGAAUUUCACUUGGACGUUGAAGAAGUCCAAAGGAUAUUUUCACUUUUGCACCUUCACCUUCUUGACUGUGUUCAAGGUAGUAGUUAAAAUAACGAAGUAAUAUAUAAGUGUGUAGAGGCUAAACCGGAAGUUUUAGGUGUGUGCAUCUACUUUUUGGAUGUUUUUCAAGAGUAGAUUCAUAGUAUUUGGGCAUCCCAACUAAUGUUGACAGGAUACUAUUAUAUCGAUGAUCACAUCCAUUCAAGGAAGUUACUUCUUAAUACAUACUUAAGAGACUAUAUAUUUUUUCCUAUGCUAGUGUACAUUUCAGCAGAGGUCUUGAGCAUAGAAUUGGUAGAUAAUUCAGUUUUGAAAAAUUUCAGCUCAUUAAAUAUGAAAAUUAUUUAGUUGGUGCUUCCCAUAGUAGAACUUCAGCUAUGUUUAGUAUUCCGUGUUUAUGAAACGUUGUAUUUAUCUGUAAUGUUUUUCCUGUUCCUUUUUUUAAUCAGAUUUUUUUUUUCUAGUGAAAAGCUGCACAUGCUUCCUUCCUUUUUUGUUCCUUUCUUUAGAGAGAUUGUCUUCUGUUUUCACUGAGUAAAGUUGCAUUCAUAAGUAUUAUUCACCAUGGUGAACUUUGGGAAAAUAACUGGAAUUUCAAGCAAGGCAUUUAGAAGGACUGACACAAAUCACUACAUGUGGAAGAGAAUAAUAAAAAAAAAAAAUCCAGUUUUACUUAGUUUCUC
ensembl:lncRNA